rnacentral:rRNA from 1 species
UACGUAGGGGGCGAGCGUUGUCCGGAUUCAUUGGGCGUAAAGAGCUCGUAGGCGGCUUGUCAAGUCGGGUGUGAAACCUCCAGGCUCAACCUGGAGACGCCACUCGAGACUGUCAUGGCUAGAGUCCGGUAGGGGAUCACGGAAUUCCUGGUGUAGCGGUGAAAUGCGCAGAUAUCAGGAGGAACACCGAUGGCGAAGGCAGGUCUCUGGGCCACUACUGACGCUGAGAAGCGAAAGCAUGGGGAGCGAACAGG